GAUGAACGCUGGCGGCGUGCCUAAUACAUGCAAGUCGAGCGAACGGACGAGUAGCUUGCUUUUCUGAUGUUAGCGGCGGACGGGUGAGUAACACGUGGAUAACCUACCUAUAAGACUGGGAUAACUUCGGGAAACCGGAACUAAUACCGGAUCAUAUUUUGAACGGCAUGGUUCAAAAGUGAAAGCCGGUCUUGCUGUCACUUCUAGUUGUAUCCUCGCUGAUUUAGCUAGUUGGUAAGGUAACGGCUUACCAAGGCCACGAUGCAUAGCCGACCUGAGAGGGUGAUCGGCCACUCUGGAACUGAGACACGGUCCAGACUCCUACGGGAGGCAGCAGUAGGGAAUCUUCCGCAAUGGGCGAAAGCCUGACGGAGCAACGCCGCGUGAGUGAUGAAGGUCUUCGGAUCGUAAAACUCUGUUAUUAGGGAAGAACAUAUGUGUAAGUAACUGUGCACAUCUUGACGGUACCUAAUCAGAAAGCCACGGCUAACUACGUG
rnacentral:rRNA from 1 species